UUAAAAUUUUGUGUAAUGAGGUUGUAUAAAAUAUUUUUGUAUGUCUAUUAAGUUAGUAAAGUUUAUUGAAUUAGAAAUAAACACCUAUAGGGAUUGUACUGUAAAGGUAAUUGAAUUAAAAUAUAAAAAAAUUAUAAAGAAAGUUUUAGACUUUACCUUUUGUAUUAUGGAGAACUUAAUAAUAAAAGAAGUUUCUUUAUAAACGAAAUAAUAUGAUUUAUCUUUUUCCCUGUAAUUGGCAGAAAGUUUAACUGUAGAAAAAGUAUGAGCUGGAGGAAAAGAUAGAAGUGAAAUGCUAAUCGAAUAUUAUGAUAGCUUUUUUCUGAGUAAAUUAGUAUAAGCUAAAUAAGAAUUAAUUCUUUGGAGAAUUUAUUGGUUGAUCAGUAGACUCUUGGAGGUAAACCUUUUUAUUUGAGAAAAGACAAUAAAUUGUAGAGUUAGCUAAGAAGUAGGGUUUAAGCAUUUUUCUAGAAAGAGAGCGUUUGAGCUCCUUAAUAGCUUGUUUUUAUAAUAAUUGAAAGACUUCUGUGCUCAUAAUGUUAGUACUUAGAUAUUGAUUUAGAUCAUGAAAUAAUGGUUCUAUGAGUAAAAUUUCUCAGUUUUAUAUAAUAAAAUAAUUUGAUUAUGUGCAAUUUUAAUUACUAAAAAAUGUUCUUAUAUUAGAUGAGAAAUAGUAUAUAAAUAUAGGGAAAGGAACUCGGCAAAAUUUCUCUCGCCUGUUUACCUAAAACAUCGCCCCCAGAAAAUUAUUGAGGGGUCUUGCCUGCCCAGUGAUAAAUAUUUAACGGCUGCGGUAUUUUGACCGUACAAAGGUAGCAUAAUCAUUUGCCUAUUAAUUGUAGGCUGGAAUCAAUGGCUGGACGAAGAGAAAACUGUCUCUCUUUAUAAAAAUUGAAUUUAGUAUUUUGGUGAAGAAACCAAAAUAAUAAAAUGGGACGAGAAGACCCUAUUGAGCUUUAGCUUUUUUCUAUAAAUAUUUAUAGAUACAAAGUUUUGGUUGGGGCAACUAAUCUUAUAAUAAGACAAGGUUAAUUAGUGAAAGAAUUAAAUCUAAAUUUGACCCAUAAUUUUAGGGUAUUAAGAAAAAGUUACCAUAGGGAUAACAGCGUAAUUUUCUUUGAGAGUACAUAUUGACAAGAAAGUUUGCGACCUCGAUGUUGGAUCAAGAUAUCCUGGAGGUGUAGCCGUUUCCAAGGGUGGGUUUGUUCAACCUAUAAAAUCUUACGCGAUCUGAGUUCAGUCCGUCGUAAGACAGGACAGUUUCUAUCUAUUAAAUAUUCCUUUUUGUACGAAAGGACUCUAGGAAAAUAAAUAAAGACUAAAGUUUAUUUAUAAAUAAUAUUAGAAAAAAUAAUAUA
rnacentral:rRNA from 1 species